UACGGGGGGGGCAAGCGUUGUUCGGAAUUACUGGGCGUAAAGGGCGCGUAGGCGGCCCUCUAAGUCAGACGUGAAAUCCCUCGGCUCAACCGGGGAACUGCGUCUGAUACUGGAGGGCUUGAAUCCGGGAGAGGGAUGUGGAAUUCCAGGUGUAGCGGUGAAAUGCGUAGAUAUCUGGAGGAACACCGGUGGCGAAGGCGGCAUCCUGGACCGGUAUUGACGCUGAGGCGCGAAAGCCAGGGAAGCAAACGGG
rnacentral:rRNA from 1 species